CCGAUUAGACAACAGAUCCGAACUCGAAGCGAAUCUGAACCUAGUGAUAUUCGGAAUAUGAAUAAAUGGCGUAUACGCAGCCAAUUUAAACUUCCUCUAAAUGAUGUAACGACUGUGUGAAAGAGAGAACAUAUUGGAUAAAAUGAUAGAUCCAUCACAAACAGAGGAAACAAGACUUUCUUCUGUGCAAUUACGUAAAGAUGGUACAUUGCCACGACUCUUCAUUUAUAAUAAUAAACCAAGAGUGAAGUCCCCACUGCACUUAAAGAAAGUAAUGCGAUAUCAAACGUCACCAGUUCUCGGAUCUCCUCGACUAAACCGUGUGCGGGGAAAUAAACCCAAACCAUGUGCAGCAAAAACAACUACAACGUCUUUAAAAUUAGUAAAACCAAUUCGGAAAUCAAAAUUUGCAAUUUCUUCGAAGAGAAUUCCAAUAGAAUCGAAAGCAGCAGAAAUAUAUCCCAGUUUUGGAGGGAAAGAACAUGAUACUGUGGAAAACGCAGAUUUCCAGCAAGAAGAUAUUACUUGUAACGAUGGCUAUCAUUUCUCAUCUGAUUUAGAAAUGUGUUAUAAGGACGAUGUGUAUUUGCAACCAUCAUCAGUUCAAGAAAGCGUCGUGUCACCAAGAGGCAAAACAACAAUACAUUUCGUCACAAGUCUUUUCCCAAAUGUUCCACCAUUUUUAUCAUUCUCUACGCAUACUGACAAACGGCCACCAAUGUCACCAUAUUUGUAUAAAGUAUUAAAAUGGAAACUAACAAAUGUAAUGCCGAAGUUGAUUCGUCGUGUCUUAAUUAGUUCUGGAUUCAGGCUCUUGAAAAAGACCAAUGACUGGAUGGGAAUUUGGAGUAAACAUAUGAAAAGCACCAGCUUUAAAACUGUUCGCUCUUAUCAAAAAUUUAACCAUAUACCAGGUUCGUUCAAGAUUGGACGCAAGGAUUCCUGCUGGCGAAACCUCCAAGCGCAGAUGAUUAAACAUGGAAACAAGGAAUUCGGCUUCAUGCCUAAGACCUAUAUAAUCCCACAAGAUUUGAAUCUAUUGAAAAGGUCUUGGCCAAAAUAUUCGCAACGCAACUUUAAAUGGAUAAUUAAACCACCAGCUAGUGCUCGAGGUACUGGAAUUAAAGUAAUAAACCGUUGGGCCCAAAUUCCCAAACGAAAAUCAGUCAUUGUGCAACGGUACAUAGAGAAACCGUUUUUGAUAAACGGUAGUAAAUUUGACCUGAGAUUAUAUGUUUUAGUCACAUCAAUUAAUCCAUUAAGGGUGUACUUAUACCAAGACGGACUAGUGCGCUUUGCAUCAGUGAAAUAUAGCGAAAGGGCAGAUUCCUUAAAUGAUCGUUAUAUGCACUUAACUAACUACAGUAUUAAUAAAUUAUCAUCAACAUACUCUCAAAAUGAAGAUGUGAAUGCAUGCGAAGGACACAAAUGGACAAUUCAAUCUUUAUGGUCUUAUCUAAAAAGUCGAAGAAUUGACACGAUCAAAUUAUGGGAUGUUUUGCGAAAUCUUAUUUUACGUACUCUUCUCGCUGGUGAAAAUUCCAUUAAUGCUAUGUUUAAGCUAAAUGUGGAAAGUAAAUAUAAUUGCUUUGAACUGUUUGGGUUUGAUGUCAUUUUAGACUCUGAGUUAGUCCCGUGGUUAUUAGAAGUCAAUAUAUCACCGUCACUACAUUCAGAAUUGCCUUUGGAUUUACACGUGAAAGGACCACUAAUACAAGCUGUGCUUAACACCGCAUUAUAUAAUGUACCUCCUAAACUUUCGCUCGAACAUCAAAAAUUAGUAUUAGCGGAGGAAGGAUUGUCUGGGCGUUUGUGUUAUGACAAGAGAAUUUAUAUAACAUAUUUGUCGAGGGAAGAAAAACUCAAACAUAAUCAAUUCACCAGGGUGGUUUCGGAUAAUCGUAAAGAUUACUUAAACGCUAUUCUGGAAAAUCUUACACCAGAUGACGUGCGAUGUUUAAUUGUGGCUGAAGAUGAAUUGCAACGUAGUGCACCAUUAGAAAGAAUAUUUCCGGGACAACAAACACAUACAUAUCUAAAAUAUACCGAACUACCACGCUAUUAUAAUCGGUUGCUAGAUGCAUGGGAGCAUAAGUAUCACCAUAAUAGAUAUGAAGGAAUUCUGCUUUUACAGGAACUAUGUAGGCAAAAAGUGCAUCUAGAAAUACCGGCCGCAACCUAGAAGAAAGGAAAUGUGGCGAACUUUGCGCUUUUUCUACUGGCGUUUCCGUUCCAUACACAGUCGACUCAAAUGCUAAUGAUGGCGCCCAGGAAGGCAACGUCUCCAUUCGGAACAGUUACAAGAUCAAUAAAAUACGGAAGCAGACGAAGGAAUGUUGUCGUUUGUGUAAUAGCGGCGUUAAUUUAGGAGUGUAAGGCAAAUACUAAUCGAACUGAAAAAUAUAAAAAAUAAUUGAACACUUAAUCACAAUUUAUCCUCAACUCAAUUUGCUAACGGAUACAAAGAAUUGACUGUUCGACGAUACAAUGGUAACGUUUUGUAGCUGACGAUGUAUCGCAAGUUGGAAAACCUGAAAACCUUGAAAUUCAUAUUCUUUCGCCAAUAUACUUUGUAACCAAUAUUUACAUAUGUAAACAUUCAAAAUAAAUAUAUGACUUAUAGUUUUGGACCCAC
rnacentral:misc_RNA from 1 species